UACGGAGGGGGCUAGCGUUGUUCGGAAUUACUGGGCGGUAAAGCGCACGUAGGCGGCUUUGUAAGUUAGAGGUGAAAGCCUGGAGCUCAACUCCAGAAUUGCCUUUAAGACUGCAUCGCUUGAAUCCGAGAGAGGUGAGUGGAAUUCCGAGUGUAGAGGUGAAAAUUCGUAGAUAUUCGGAAGAACACCAGUGGCGAAGGCGGGCUCACUGGCUCGGGUAUUGACGCUGAGGUGCGAAAGCGUGGGGAGCAAACAGG
rnacentral:rRNA from 1 species